rnacentral:rRNA from 1 species
ACUGCUCAGUAACACGUAGGUAACCUACCCUUCGGACGGGCACAACCCCGGGAAACUGAGGCUAAUUCCCGAUAGGUACCCCCUUCUGGAAUGUGGGGAUAUCCAAAGCUCCGGCGCCGAAGGAUGGGCCUGCGGCCGAUUAGGUUGUUGGCGGGGUAACAGCCCACCAAGCCGACGAUCGGUACGGGCAGUGAGAGCUGUAGCCCGGAGAUGGGGACUGAGACAAGGCCCCAGGCCCUACGGGGCGCAGCAGGCGCGAAACCUUCACAAUGCACGAAAGUGUGAUGAGGGUACUCCGAGUGCGCAUACAUUGUAUGUGCUUUUCUGCAGCGUAAAUAGUUGCAGGAAUAAGGGCUGGGCAAGACCGGUGCCAGCCGCCGCGGUAACACCGGCAGCCCUAGUGGUGGCCGCUUUUAUUGGGCCUAAAGCGUCCGUAGCCGGACAGGCGAGUCUUUGGGUAAAUCCUACGUCUUAAGCGUGGGAAUUCUAAAGAUACUACCUGUCUUGAGGCCGGGAGAGGCUGGAGGUACUCCUGGGGUAGGGGUAAAAUCCUAUAAUCCUGGGGGGACCACCGAUGGCGAAGGCAUCCAGCUGGAACGGGUCCGACGGUAAGGGACGAAAGCUAGGGGCACGAACCGGAUUAGAUACCCGGGUAGUCCUAGCCGUAAACGAUGCUCGCUAGGUGUCAGUCACGGUGCGACCGUGAUUGGUGCCGUAGGGAAGCCGUGAAGCGAGCCACCUGGGAAGUAUGGCCGCAAGGCUGAAACUUAAAGGAAUUGGCGGGGGAGCAC